rnacentral:rRNA from 1 species
GUAGGUGGCAAGCGUUGUCCGGAAUUAUUGGUCGUAAAGCGCGCGCAGGCGGUUCUUUAAGUCUGAUGUGAAAGCCCACGGCUCAACCGUGGAGGGUCAUUGGAAACUGGAGAACUUGAGUACAGAAGAGGAAAGCGGAAUUCCACGUGUAGCGGUGAAAUGCGUAGAGAUGUGGAGGAACACCAGUGGCGAAGGCGGCUUUCUGGUCUGUAACUGACGCUGAGGCGCGAAAGCGUGGGGAGCAAACAGGGAUUAGAUACCCUGGUAGUCCACGCCGUAAACGAUGAGUGCUAAGUGUUAGGGGGUUUCCGCCCCCUUAGUGCUGCAGCUAACGCAUUAAGCACUCCGCCUGGGGAGUACGGCCGCAAGGCUG